UCUCAAUUACAAUAUAAUUGGAGUGACUGGAGAUAUUUAUACUCACAAAUCCAAAAUGAGUUAGAGAAGUAUGAUGAUCAUCAACCAGAGAAACUGAGGCACAGAGCUGUUAAGUGACUUGUAAGAUCACACAGGGAAUCUACGGCGCAGCCAGGAACCAGGUCUCCCACCCGUUCUAACCACAAACCCAACCUUUCCUCGCUAGCUCGCUAUCAGCUACAGACCAGCCUGAACCCAACGUGUUUCAAGCCCCGACCCCUCCCUCUUCCUUUGGGCUGGUUUCUGAUGAACCUUCCCCACCUGCAGCCGCUUUCAGAGGCGUGAAGUUAAUUUUCCUGUGAGCAGCAACAGCUGAGAACCUCAGAUUCGGUCGCUAUGAAAGAAACCAUGGAGUCGAGUUUCAUUACCAGCAUUGGGCUGUUGAUUCACCUAGGUGCUGCGCUGGGGGACUCGGUCCAGUCCAGGGAACCCCACCUCUCUGGAAGAGAAGGGGACGCUGUGACCCUCACUUGUUCCUAUGAUACCAGUUCUACCGGCUACAUCUAUCUCUACUGGUACCGUCAGUUUCCCAACCAAGCCCUUCAGUACAUUCUCUUUAGAGGAGUGAAGCAGGCCAGAGGCCAGAGUGAUACCGCAGAUUUCGCCCAGCAGAGGUUUUCUUCCCAGGCUGAUGACAGCUCAACGGUUUUAACCAUCACAGCCCUGGAGCUGGCAGACACAGCGGUGUAUCUCUGCGCUCUGCAGCAAGCACAGUGACAGAGCCACAUGGCAGAGCUGUACAAAAACCCUUCCAGCCUUGCUGUAGCUGAGGUUAGGCACACACACACUGAGGCUGGAAAUAGGGGCCCUUGGCAGAUUUGUUAUUCUGUUAAGAAACUCAUAAUUAGGAAUAGUUUUGAUGGUGUCAAGGUAUUCCUUCCGAUUCCCCCCAAAAGCAAAUUCCUAUGCAAACAUGCGAACGGCCAUCCUGGGUCAGA